CCCCGGGUUAUUGUGUUAUUGAUAAAUGAUUAUAUUUUUAAAACUGAUUUUCAUAUAUUGUUUUGAAAAUUCUGUAUGAAUAUUAUGUGAAUAUAUGUGGGAUGUGACUAAGUGUUACUUGUGGUAUUGCUCGUUUAAUUAUUUAUGGUGAUUUAUGAUUAUUAUGUGAUUAUUAUAUAUUUUUUUGUGAAUUUUGUGUUAUCUAGUUUAUUGAGCUGAAUGCUCGUAUGUGUUUAUAUUCGUGAGAUUUCAAUUUCUUUAUGCUCAGGAGAAAAUAUAGUUUAUUUGGAUAUUUUUAUAUCGAUUUAUGGAAUGUUAGAUGAUUUUAUAAUCGGUUUACGGAUUUAAUGGCGUAUAUUUAUAUUUAUUGAUUAAUUAUUUGAUUUCCGUAAAAACCGUCCACUCGUAACGAGGUAGCAAAUUUUCUUCCCGGAAGUUUCAACAAAACUCACCUUUUGCCUAAUUUGAAUAUUCCGGACAUUUUUCGUGUUUUGACUUUUUCGAUCCGGAGUACGGUUUUUCCCGGAGUCGGUCCGGCGGAGUUUUGCGGGUAUUUGAAUUGUUGAUAAUUAUCCAGUUUGUCUCGAUAAGCGUGAAACUAGAUAUUUUGAUUAUUAUAUUAAUUCUUAUCUUGUAAUAAUUGCGAUGGGACCCGCAUACUAAUGACUGAUUAAAAAGUCCUGUUUUGAUGAUUAUCUCGAAAACCAGUACCGAUUGGACCCUGCUUUAUUAAUAUAAAGCUAUUAAAUACGUAUUUUCAUGUCAUAAACGAUCCAAAGGGGUACCAAUUAUUUGUAAAUAUAAAUAGACCUUUCUAGAGCUUAUUUUCAACCGUAAAUCAUUUUCACCAGUUUCUGUUCACAAAUACCGAGAGAAACCGAGCUGCGUUCUUCGUGUUCUUCGUAAUCAAACAAGGUUUUGAAGGUGUUAUUUGAAUCCGAUGGAGGCGUAUGAAUAGUCAAAACGAAGCUAUCGACGCGUAGAAUCUAGUACAAUCAUCCGUUUAUGUGCAGAUUUGUCAGGAUUUGGAGGAGACGUAUACGCUCGAAGACGUCAGAAAGUCGGAAUGGUAUUGAAAAGCGAAUAAGGGAUGAAUCGAGUAAGCGAAGCGAUGUGGCGAAUAGAGUAUAGCUAGAGAUGGUCUAGAGAUUAUGAGAUGGAUAGAUUGUGAAAGUGGAAAGAUGAGGUUGAGCUAUGAAACUGGAGUCAGAUUUAAGGCAAGUAUCCUAUACCCUUCUUUUGGAUAUCUUGCGAUUAUUCUGAUUCAUUCUUUUCGUAUGUGUUGCAAAUAUUCGUUCCUCUCUUUUUCAUAUUUGGCAAGUGCAAAUAUUUUUAUCCAUCCUUUUCUAAUCCUCAAAAAUUCAGAUAAUUCCAGUUUUACAAAUUAAUUCGAAGUUCAGAUUGUCAUUGAAGCAUGUGUUGCUCAGUGAUGAUUAGAACCUAGAAUGACUUGGGAUCUUCUUGAUUAUUCAACCCGCCAUUGUCAUGCUGGUUUAGCAGGCUAAAUUCAGUUGCUUAGCCGAUAAUGGAGGAUACUGAAUAGUUAAGGAUUUCCUGAACUAUGAUUUAUGGAAGGAUGGACUCUGGUUUAUGAAAAGUUGAUUAUCAAAGUUUGAUUUGGAAUUAUUCUAUCAUUGAUAUUGAUUGUGUUUAUGUUCUGUUGUUAUACGUUGACCUGUUAUUGAAUUAUAGAAUUGGAUUAUUGUUUUUAUAUAAACCUGUGGACCAGAUUCGUGGUCAUGUUAGGCCAAUGAGUGCCUUGGAUCCAGUGAUAGAGCAUGGCGGGGCCUGCUCGGGGUUAGUGCGGAACUGAUCAGCUGCCUAACCUUGGUUUUAAUUAAAAUGUGAUAGUCCAAUUCAAUAAUUCUUUGGAAAGAUUGAAUUUCUCAGUUUAAAUGCUGCAAGGUAUUGUAAAUCAUUCUAUACAAUACCAUGAAACUCAUGAACUCAGGUUGAAUCCUCUUAUAUCUUGAACUCGUGAUCUUCUGUUAUAUCAUUUCAGAACUAUCAUUGUUUAUUAUUACUUGCUGAGCAUUGUUGCUCAUCCUUGCUAUUCCUUUCUAACCAUUUCAGAAAGGCUAAAAGAUGAGAUGAUUGAUUGAGAUUGUGGAUAAGGCUAAUGCUAGGCGAGGAGACAGAGUUGAGGAUCCAGUGGUCGAGGAGUGUUCAGGAAAGUUAAUGAGGUUGAUGCAAGCUAGAGCUGUGCUAUAAGGAUUCAAGUGUAAAUCAUAGCUGGAAUAGUUGACAGUGAUUCUUCUUAUCGAAGAUGAUCUGAUUUGGUAAGAGAUGUUGUGUAAUAAUAGUGGUUGAUUCUAAUUUCAAUACUGUAACCUGGAAACGAUCCUGUUGUUUUGGGGGUGAAGAUGUUCUCUUUUAAAUCUUUUAUUUAACGUCUUUCAAAUCUUUUAUUAAAUGUUUUCAAGUUUUAAAUUCUAUGGAUUUCAUUAUCUUUAAAAAAAAAAAAAAAAAAAAAAAAAGAAAAUACAGGUUUUCAAAAGUGUUUAAAAAUGGGUUUUAUGUGGUGACGUCAGAAUCCAGACCCCCGGAUUCCUGGACCGUCACAGUUGGUAUCAGAGCAACAGGUUAUAAGUAUUUGAAAUUAGAAUAUAGAUCAUAGUUAUAGGUUUUCUAGAGAAAAAUGUGGUGUAACCUCACAUAGAGGUAUGGUCGGACUAUUUAGGAAUAGUCUAGAGAUGUGAGUGAAGCAUAGAGUUUAGUUAGAUGAUCAAGUUAAGUGUGGAUAUUUGAAGAGAUUAGGAUUCUUAAGUUUAGACAUAUGAUUUCUAGUAUGUUGACUAAUUGAGAUGGUGAAUUGUGGAAAAGGUCAGUAUUUGACCUAUAUAGAAGAGUUUGAUAGUGAAUGAUUGAGUUGAGAAUGGUGAAAAUGCAGAGUUCAGAGUAUUCUGACUAUACUGCAUAUUUGAAACCGGAUUAUCAUAUUGAUUUGAGGAUGAUAUAAAUGCAUGGUUCAUAAUAUGUUGACCAUGUCAGAUAUUUGGAAGAUGUAUAUUGUUUUGAGUGAAGAUAUGAAGAGUAAGUGUAGAGUAUGAGUUGUAUUGGAUUAGAAGGAGAGAUUGGUAGAUAGAGGUUGAUAGGUGAGAAGUGAAUGAUAGAGAGUACGUGGAAUGGAGUCCAGUUAUUAGAGAUGAUGUCUACGAGUAAGUUAGAACGUUAGUCCUCGACGACAACGCUUCGAGCUAAUCGGGAUUUCAAUUGGCAUCAAGGUGGGCCCAUAACCCACAGGUUGAUGAUCCAGAUAAUCGAAGAUAUGCUACGUGCUGUGCUAUGGACUUCAAAGGCAGAUGGAAUGAAAUAGAAAAAAAAAAAAAACGAAGACUACAUGGGCGAGAGUUAUUACGAACGAUAAUGUCGACGAUGAAAUUUUACAAGGUUAUUACGAGUCAACAUCGAUUGAUUAUCGAGAACGUGGAGAAGAAGACAUACGACGAACAACGAUUUAUUGAAGCAGAGCGAAAAUCUGAGAAGACCUUGGCAAUACCUCUCUUCAACUAAAGAUUCUUUUGAUUGUUUUCCUCAUCAGCGAGUUAUUAUUAUGAUACCUAUUCUAUAAAAAGUUCUGAUAAAGAAGAUCUUCAAUUUCUCGAAUUCUAUGAUGACAAUGAUAUUGAUUAUUGGUGUGAGUUAGUAUUGAAUCGGUGUAUGAUAAAGGCGUGUUUAUGAAGAGACAGUGGAAUUUCUUGAUAUUAUUUGAUAUUCUUUGAUAUCCCUUGAUAUUCUUCCAUAUUCUUUGAUAUCCCUUAAUAUUCGUUGAUAUUCUUUGACACUCUUUGAUAUUCUUUGAUAUCUUUUCGAUAUUCCUUAAUAUAUUCCUCGAUAAUCCUUAACAUUCCUUGAUGCUCAUUGAGAUUUCUUGGAUUCUUUCCAUCUGAUUGGGAUGAACAACCCUAUGUAUAGGGGACACAAGGUAUACCUGUCUGUGUGAUAGGAGUUGGAUGGGACGCCAUCACUUGUGUGUGUUGUGAUUACAAGAAGGUUAACAACCUUUAGUAGUGUCUACUGUGGACACGCAACAUUAAGUUCAUUUGAUCGUAUUGAUCUCCCAGUCACUCUUAUAUUCCCAUGUGACCUAUUUUGAAAACAUCUUGUUCUAUUCGAAAAUUCCCAAGAUUGAUUCUUGGGAAAUGAAUGUUGCAAUCGCGAAAGUUUGAUUUUCCUUUUCCAUUAAAGUUAAAGGUAUGCCAAGAUCAAUCAAAUGUGGAUGACGAUAUGAUAUUACGAAGUGUGUACGUUUUAGUUUCUUCGGAGGAUUCCGAGGACGGAAUCCUUAUAAGGGGGGUAGAAUGUAAUAUCCCAUAUUUUUAAAUUUAGAUUUGAUUAUUAUAAAUCUAUUUGUCUAAAUAUUAUUGUUGGCUUUAGUUGAAAAGUGAAUUGAUUAUGUGAAUAGUUUUAUAUGAUUAUACUUGUUCUGUGAAUUAAUAUGGAUUAUACAGAUUAUGCGUCCUCCUUCUUUCUCUGAUUCCGAGGACGGAAUCCCUAUAAGGAGGGUAGAUUGUAAUAACCCGGAUUUUAAAAAUAUUCUUUUGUUAAUAUUAUAAAUGAUUUUCUUAAAAAGAAAGGAAUAAGAUUUAAUAUUUUAUUCCAGUUUAAUGAGUUUUCAAAAUUUUAUAUUUAAAACCCCGGGUUAUUGUGUUAUUGAUAAAUGAUUAUAUUUUUAAAACUGAUUUUCAUAUAUUGUUUUGAAAAUUCUGUAUGAAUAUUAUGUGAAUAUAUGUGGGAUGUGACUAAGUGUUACUUGUGGUAUUGCUCGUUUAAUUAUUUAUGGUGAUUUAUGAUUAUUAUGUGAUUAUUAUAUAUUUUUUUGUGAAUUUUGUGUUAUCUAGUUUAUUGAGCUGAAUGCUCGUAUGUGUUUAUAUUCGUGAGAUUUCAAUUUCUUUAUGCUCAGGAGAAAAUAUAGUUUAUUUGGAUAUUUUUAUAUCGAUUUAUGGAAUGUUAGAUGAUUUUAUAAUCGGUUUACGGAUUUAAUGGCGUAUAUUUAUAUUUAUUGAUUAAUUAUUUGAUUUCCGUAAAAACCGUCCACUCGUAACGAGGUAGCAAAUUUUCUUCCCGGAAGUUUCAACAAAACUCACCUUUUGCCUAAUUUGAAUAUUCCGGACAUUUUUCGUGUUUUGACUUUUUCGAUCCGGAGUACGGUUUUUCCCGGAGUCGGUCCGGCGGAGUUUUGCGGGUAUUUGAAUUGUUGAUAAUUAUCCAGUUUGUCUCGAUAAGCGUGAAACUAGAUAUUUUGAUUAUUAUAUUAAUUCUUAUCUUGUAAUAAUUGCGAUGGGACCCGCAUACUAAUGACUGAUUAAAAAGUCCUGUUUUGAUGAUUAUCUCGAAAACCAGUACCGAUUGGACCCUGCUUUAUUAAUAUAAAGCUAUUAAAUACGUAUUUUCAUGUCAUAAACGAUCCAAAGGGGUACCAAUUAUUUGUAAAUAUAAAUAGACCUUUCUAGAGCUUAUUUUCAACCGUAAAUCAUUUUCACCAGUUUCUGUUCACAAAUACCGAGAGAAACCGAGCUGCGUUCUUCGUGUUCUUCGUAAUCAAACAAGGUUUUGAAGGUGUUAUUUGAAUCCGAUGGAGGCGUAUGAAUAGUCAAAACGAAGCUAUCGACGCGUAGAAUCUAGUACAAUCAUCCGUUUAUGUGCAGAUUUGUCAGGAUUUGGAGGAGACGUAUACGCUCGAAGACGUCAGAAAGUCGGAAUGGUAUUGAAAAGCGAAUAAGGGAUGAAUCGAGUAAGCGAAGCGAUGUGGCGAAUAGAGUAUAGCUAGAGAUGGUCUAGAGAUUAUGAGAUGGAUAGAUUGUGAAAGUGGAAAGAUGAGGUUGAGCUAUGAAACUGGAGUCAGAUUUAAGGCAAGUAUCCUAUACCCUUCUUUUGGAUAUCUUGCGAUUAUUCUGAUUCAUUCUUUUCGUAUGUGUUGCAAAUAUUCGUUCCUCUCUUUUUCAUAUUUGGCAAGUGCAAAUAUUUUUAUCCAUCCUUUUCUAAUCCUCAAAAAUUCAGAUAAUUCCAGUUUUACAAAUUAAUUCGAAGUUCAGAUUGUCAUUGAAGCAUGUGUUGCUCAGUGAUGAUUAGAACCUAGAAUGACUUGGGAUCUUCUUGAUUAUUCAACCCGCCAUUGUCAUGCUGGUUUAGCAGGCUAAAUUCAGUUGCUUAGCCGAUAAUGGAGGAUACUGAAUAGUUAAGGAUUUCCUGAACUAUGAUUUAUGGAAGGAUGGACUCUGGUUUAUGAAAAGUUGAUUAUCAAAGUUUGAUUUGGAAUUAUUCUAUCAUUGAUAUUGAUUGUGUUUAUGUUCUGUUGUUAUACGUUGACCUGUUAUUGAAUUAUAGAAUUGGAUUAUUGUUUUUAUAUAAACCUGUGGACCAGAUUCGUGGUCAUGUUAGGCCAAUGAGUGCCUUGGAUCCAGUGAUAGAGCAUGGCGGGGCCUGCUCGGGGUUAGUGCGGAACUGAUCAGCUGCCUAACCUUGGUUUUAAUUAAAAUGUGAUAGUCCAAUUCAAUAAUUCUUUGGAAAGAUUGAAUUUCUCAGUUUAAAUGCUGCAAGGUAUUGUAAAUCAUUCUAUACAAUACCAUGAAACUCAUGAACUCAGGUUGAAUCCUCUUAUAUCUUGAACUCGUGAUCUUCUGUUAUAUCAUUUCAGAACUAUCAUUGUUUAUUAUUACUUGCUGAGCAUUGUUGCUC